rnacentral:rRNA from 1 species
GGAGAAAAGCAGGGGAUCGCAAGACCUUGCGCUCAUUGAGCGGCCGAUGCUUGAUUAGCUAGUUGGUGAGGUAAAGGCUUACCAAGGCGACGAUCAGUAGCUGGUCUGAGAGGACGACCAGCCACACAGGGACUGAGACACGGCCCAGACUCCUACGGGAUGCAGCAGUGGGGAAUUUUGGACAAUGGGGGAAACCCUGAUCCAGCCAUGCCGCGUGAGUGAAGAAGGCCUUCGGGUUGUAAAGCUCUUUCAGCCGGAACGAAACGGUCACGGCUAAUACCUGUGACUACUGACGGUACCGGAAGAAGAAGCACCGGCUAACUACGUGCCAGCAGCCGCGGUAAUACGUAGGGUGCGAGCGUUAAUCGGAAUUACUGGGCGUAAAGCGUGCGCAGGCGGUUUUGUAAGUCAGAUGAGGGAUCCCCGGGCUUAACCUGGGAACUGCGUUUGAUUAAACGGAGCUAGAAGGGC